rnacentral:rRNA from 1 species
GCUUUGGCGGGCCGCCAGGGGGUCGGGCAAGCUAUCGGGGUCGGCUGGUAAGCCCCCGCCAGAAGACCCCAACAUCCUGAUUAUUAAUGUCCUCUGAGUACUAUGUAAUAGUUAAAAACUUUCAACAACGGAUCUCUUGGUUCUGGCAUCCAUGAAAAACGCAGCGAAAUGCGAUAAGUAAUGUGAAUUGCAGAAUUCAGUGAAUCAUCGAAUCUUUGAACGCACAUUGCGCCCCUUGGUAUUCCGAGGGGCAUGCCUGUUCGAGCGUCAUUACAACCCUUCAAGCAUUGCUUGGGUUGGGCUCCGCUGCUCACCCAGCGGGCCUUAAAAUCAGGGGGGUGCCGUCGGGCCCUGAGCGCACUAAAUAUCCUCGCUACAGGGACCCGGUGGACACUGGCCAUCAACCCCUCACUUUCUAAAUUUGACCUCGCAUCACGUAGGAUACCCGCUGAACUGGACAUAUCA